GGAGGGGAGUGAAAUAGAACCUGAAACCCUACGCCUACAAGCAGUGGAAGCACAUUAUUAGUGUAACCACGUACUUUUUGUAGAACGGGCCAGCGAGUUAUGGUAUAGAGCAAGGUUAAUGACUUAAGGUCAGGAGCCGUAGGGAAACCAAGUCUUAAUAGGGCGAAAAGUUCUAUGCUAUAGACCCGAAACCGGGUGACCUAUCCAUGGGCAGAGUGAAGUUGAAGUAAAAUUCAAUGGAGGCUCGAACUCGUUAGCGUUUAAAAGCUAUGGGAUGACCUGUGGAUAGGGGUGAAAAGCCAAUCGAACUCGGAGAUAGCUGGUUCUCCUCGAAAUAGCUUUAGGGCUAGCCUCAAGUAAAGUGUAAUGGAGGUAGAGCACUGAAUGGUCUAGGGGCGCAUAGCGUUACCAAAACCUAUCAAACUCCGAAUGCCAUAAACAUAUACUUGGGAGUCAGACUAUGUGGGAUAAGCUUCAUAGUCGAAAGGGAAAGAGCCCAGACCACCAGCUAAGGUCCCUAAAUUCUGAUUAAGUGAUAAAGGAUGUGAGGUUUCACAGACAACCAGGAUGUUGGCUUAGAAGCAGCCAUACAUUUAAAGAGUGCGUAAUAGCUCACUGGUCGAGAGACCUUGCGCCGAAGAUUUCCGGGACUCAAAUCAGAUACCGAAGCUGUGGGAUUAGUGUAAACUAAUCGGUAGAGGAGCAUUGUGUAUGGGUAGAAGCUAUACCGAAAGGAGUGGUGGACUAUACACAAGAGAGAAUGCUGGCAUAAGUAGCGCAAGGUAUGUGAGAAUCAUACCCGUCGAAAGCCCAAGGUUUCCUGAGGAAGGCUCGUCCACUCAGGGUAAGUCGGGACCUAAGCCCAGGCUGAAAAGCGUAGGCGAUGGACAACAGGUUGAAAUUCCUGUACUAGUUACAAGCGUUUGAGAGAAGGAGUGACGCAGGAGGAUAGGCUGAGCGUGCCGUUGGUAGAGCACGUCUAAGCAUGUAGGGAGUUAAGAUAGGCAAAUCCGUCUUAACAAUCCUGAGAAGUGAUGGGGAUCGAAAAACAAGUAGAGAAGCAGCUGACUCCACACUGCCAAGAAAAGCUUCUAUCGAGCAAGUAACUACCCGUACCGCAAACCGACACAGGUAGGCGAGGAGAGAAUCCUAAGACGAGCGGAAGAACCAUUGUUAAGGAACUCGGCAAAAUAGCCCCGUAACUUAGGGAGAAGGGGUGCCGGUUGAAGUAUAGA
rnacentral:ncRNA from 1 species